rnacentral:rRNA from 1 species
GCAUAUCAAUAGCGGAGAAAAGAACUAACAAGGAUUCCCCUUAGUAACUGCGAAGUGAAGCGGGAAGUAAGCUCAAAUUUAAAAUCUGGCGGCGUCCUCGUCGUCCGAAGUUGUAAUCUGGAGAAGCGACAUCCGCGCUGGACCGUGUACAAGUCUCUUGGAAAAGAGCGUCGUAGAGGGUGACAAUCCCGUCUUUGACACGGACCGCCAGGGCUUUGGGAUGCGCUCUCGAUGAGUCGAGUUGUUUGGGAAUGCAGCUCAAAAUGGGUGGUAAAUUCCAUCUAAAGCUAAAUAUUGGCGAGAGACCGAUAGCGAACAAGUACCGUGAGGGAAAGAUGAAAAGAACUUUGGAAAGAGAGUUAAACAGUAUGUGAAAUCGCUGAAAGGGAAACGCUUGAAGUCAGUCGCGUCGGUCAGAAUUCAGCCUUGCUCACGCUCGGUGUACUUUCUGACCGACGGGUCAGCAUCGAUUUUGACGGUCGGAUAAAGGUCGAGGGAAUGUGGCACCUUCGGGUGUGUUAUAGCCUUCGGUCGGGAUACGACGGUCGGGAUCGAGGAAAACCGGGCGCUUUCGCGUUUGGGAUGCUGGCGUAAUGGCUUUAAACGACCCGUCUUGAAACACGGACCAAGGAGUCUAACGUGCACGCGAGUGUUUGGGUGGUAAACCCGAGCGCGUAAUGAAAGUGAAAGUCGGGAUCCUUGUCAUGGGGAGCACCGACGCCCGGACCUGAACUUCUGUGACGGCUCUGCGGUAGAGCGUGUACGUUGGGACCCGAAAGAUGGUGAACUAUGCCUGAAUAGGGUGAAGCCAGAGGAAACUCUGGUGGAGGCUCGUAGCGAUUUCUGACGUGCAAAUCGAUUCGUCGAAUUUGGGUAUAGGGGGCGAAAGACUAAUCGAACCAUCUAGUAGCUGGGUUCCUGCCGA